rnacentral:sRNA from 12 species
GCACGUCCCGGAUCUUUUCCAAUCCGGCAGCUAACUGGCAAGCGGUCGCGGCUGGUGAUUAUGGGCAUAACAUUGGCAAUGCUCUUUUCUCAAGCUCCCGUGCGGAUAGUUUUUACCGCAUAGCGAUUUUUAUCUCCGAGCGCACAAGGGCGCAAUUAUGGCAUUAUUUUAUCGCCUCUCUUUUCCACACGACUCUCGCACUCCCAAAAUUGCGUGCUUUGCGUGUGCGGACUAAAAACACGUUUUUAGACCGUUCCAAUUUGCUACAUUGGUUUGUAGUCCCGCGCGGUGUGGUUAUUUGACACCCUCUUUAAUCGUUCCAAAACGAACGGGCGAAUUUUCGUUUGUCCGAGCCACGAAAAUAGGUUUCCCACAAAAAAGGCUCUUUGUUU